AAGUGCUCCACACAUUAACAACCAUUAUACAAAGCAAACAUAUUCGUGUUGCAGAAAAUAAAAAGCUUCUGCAAAUUUUAACCAUGGUUCUUCCGUUAAUACUUGCAGGACUUUUAGCAGCAUCAAAUGUUGCUGUAGGUACUGCAGGAAUUGUGGGUCUUGUACAGGACCACAACAAGAAACAAAACGAGAAGGAAAAGCAGAAGAAGUAAUAGAGUUAUAUAUAAAGGAUUGUGUGGUAACUACAAAGCACAUGGAAGUUAUUGAUCAAUAAAACAUGUAUUACCUUUUGUAACUCUCCAGUGUUAUUAAUGAAAUAAUUGUCCCUGUUGAAUAA